rnacentral:rRNA from 1 species
AACGAACGCUGGCGGCAUGCCUAACACAUGCAAGUCGAACGAGACCUUCGGGUCUAGUGGCGCACGGGUGCGUAACGCGUGGGAACCUGCCCUUAGGUUCGGAAUAACUCCCCGAAAGGGGUGCUAAUACCGGAUAAUGUCUUCGGAGCAAAGAUUUAUCGCCUUUGGAUGGGCCCGCGUUGGAUUAGCUAGUUGGUAGGGUAAAAGCCUACCAAGGCGACGAUCCAUAGCUGGUCUGAGAGGAUGAUCAGCCACACUGGGACUGAGACACGGCCCAGACUCCUACGGGAGGCAGCAGUGGGGAAUAUUGGACAAUGGGCGAAAGCCUGAUCCAGCAAUGCCGCGUGAGUGAUGAAGGCCUUAGGGUUGUAAAGCUCUUUUACCCGGGACGAUAAUGACAGUACCGGGAGAAUAAGCUCCGGCUAACUCCGUG